AUUGAACGCUGGCGGCAGGCCUAACACAUGCAAGUCGAGCGGAUGAAGGGAGCUUGCUCCUGGAUUCAGCGGCGGACGGGUGAGUAAUGCCUAGGAAUCUGCCUGGUAGUGGGGGAUAACGUCCGGAAACGGGCGCUAAUACCGCAUACGUCCUGAGGGAGAAAGGGGGGGAUCUUCGGACCUCACGCUAUCAGAUGAGCCUAGGUCGGAUUAGCUAGUUGGUGGGGUAAAGGACUACCAAGGCGACGAUCCGUCACUGGUCUGAGAGGAUGAACAGUGAGAUUGAGACUGGGAUACGGCCCAGACGCCUACGGGAGGCAGGAGUGGGGGAUAUUGGACCAUGGGCGGAAGCCUGAUGCAGCGACGCAGCGUGGGGGAUUACGGCCUUCGGGUUGUAUUCUCCUUUCGAGCGAGAGGAAGCCACCUGGUUGGAAGGGUGGUGACGGUAGUGGUAGAAGAAGCACCGGCUAACUACGUG
rnacentral:rRNA from 1 species